GAUGAAGAACGUAGCAAAAUGCGAUAAGUAAUGUGAAUUGCAGAAUUCAGUGAAUCAUCGAAUCUUUGAACGCACAUUGCGCCCGCCAGUAUUCUGGCGGGCAUGCCUGUUCGAGCGUCAUUUCAACCCUCAAGCACAGCUUGGUGUUGGGACUCGCGUUAAUUCGCGUUCCUCAAAUUGAUUGGUGGUCACGUCGAGCUUCCAUAGCGUAGUAGUAAAACCCUCGUUACUGGUAAUCGUCGCGGCCACGCCGUUAAACCCCAACUUCUGAAUGUUGACCUCGGAUCAGGUAGGAAUACCCGCUGAACUUAAGCAUAUCAAUAAGCGGAGGA
rnacentral:misc_RNA from 1 species